rnacentral:sRNA from 1 species
GCGGGGCUGGGAGGAUAGGCUUCUCAUCUCCUUCCCCAAGCGCCCACCGCCUCCCCGUGCGUCUUGCAGGAGACCUACAAAUUGCCGCACCGGCUCAUCGAGAAAAAGAGACGUGACCGGAUUAACGAGUGCAUCGCCCAGCUGAAGGAUCUCCUACCCGAACAUCUCAAACUUACAACUUUGGGUCACUUGGAAAAAGCAGUGGUUCUUGAACUUACCUUGAAGCAUGUGAAAGCACUAACAAACCUAAUUGAUCAGCAGCAGCAGAAAAUCAUUGCCCUGCAGAGUGGUUUACAAGCUGGUGAGUGCUGAUUCUGGCUAUCCUCUCUUUAAGAGUUUGAGUGCAAAUAGAGAGCCUGUGGGCUCAACAUCUGAUGCAAUAAACAUUACUGCAAC